GAUGAACGCUAGCGGCAGGCUUAACACAUGCAAGUCGAGGGGUAGAACACUUCGGUGUUUGAGACCGGCGCACGGGUGCGUAACGCGUAUGCAAUCUACCUUAUACAGGGGAAUAGCCCAGAGAAAUUUGGAUUAAUGCCCCAUAGCAUUACGACUUGGCAUCAAGAUGUAAUUAAAGUUCCAACGGUAUAAGAUGAGCAUGCGUCCCACUAGUUAGUUGGUAAGGUAACGGCUUACCAAGACGAUGAUGGGUAGGGGUCCUGAGAGGGAGAUCCCCCACACUGGUACUCGGACCCGGACCAGACUCCUACGGGCUGCAGCAGUGAGGAAUAUUGGUCAAUGGUCGAAAGACUGAACCAGCCAUGCCGCGUGCAGGAGGACGGUCCUAGGGAUUGUAAACUGCUUUUAUACAGGAAGAAACCCGCCCACGUGUGGGAGCUUGGCGGUACUGUAGGAAUAAGGAUCGGCUAACUCCAUGCCAGCAGCCGCCGUAA
rnacentral:rRNA from 1 species